GUGGGUAACCUGCCUUAUAGUGGGGGAUAGCCUUUCGAAAGGAAGAUUAAUACCGCAUAAGAUUGUAGUAUCGCAUGAUAUAGCAAUUAAAGGAGCAAUUCGCUAUAAGAUGGACCCGCGUCGCAUUAGCUAGUUGGUGAGGUAAUGGCUCACCAAGGCGACGAUGCGUAGCCGACCUGAGAGGGUGAUCGGCCACAUUGGGACUGAGACACGGCCCAGACUCCUACGGGAGGCAGCAAUG
rnacentral:rRNA from 1 species